UCCCCGUAGCACAUUAACUCGAGUAGAGGUGUAACCAAGCUGAAUUUGAAAUUAAUUAGGAGUUGCAAAAGUUGACAUGCAGCUUGGUUUGUUUAUCAUUAUUUCAAGCUUUAUUUCAAACUGAGCACAAUCAAAGCAUUGAUCAAUUUAAAAAUCCUAAAUCAAUCUAAAAAAAAUUCAAGCUUGCGCACGCGCACGCACACAUAUCAAUUUUGUGAUGUGCUUGAUCGACACUGGUCUAUUUUUGACUUCGCUUAAAAUUAAUUUCAAGCCCAGGUAGCUGGAUCAAGCUUGGUUUAUUUAGCUUGGAACCAAGCUCGAUCCGUUCGGAUC
rnacentral:lncRNA from 1 species